UUCUUAUUUUUAGUUUUAUUUUAGGUUUUGUUUUGAGUUUUAAUUUUUGAGAGUUUAUUUGGGUAGAAAGUUAUAUUUAUUCUUCUGCAAUCCAUUAAAUCCUCUUUCAUGCAAUCUAUAUUCCAGUCUACAAUUUUCCUAACACUGUUUUCAUCCAUUUUAAUUUAUGUUAAAGCUUUUCUUUAAUUAGUUAAAUACAUAAAUACUCUUUGAAUCUGAUUACCUGUCUUAUAGUUAAUUUCAAUUAAAAAAUAUUCUCCGGUAGACUAGAGAAUCUAUCAACAUCCUCAAAAUAAUGU
rnacentral:lncRNA from 1 species